rnacentral:rRNA from 1 species
UACGUAGGGGGCAAGCGUUGUCCGGAUUUAUUGGGCGUAAAGAGCUCGUAGGUGGUUCGGUAAGUCGGAUGUGAAAUCUCCAGGCUCAACUUGGAGCGGUCAUUCGAUACUGCCGUGACUAGAGUUCGGUAGGGGAGUGUGGAAUUCCUGGUGGAGCGGUGAAAUGCGCAGAUAUCAGGAGGAACACCCGUAGCAAAGGCGGCACUCUGGGCCGAUACUGACACUGAGGAGCGAAAGCGUGGGGAGCGAACAGG